rnacentral:tRNA from 1 species
ACCAAAAAUAAGACUUAGUCUUUUAAAACUUCAAGAAAAAAGAAAUUAUCU